CUAUUUCCUUAAAAAGUCUGUAAGAUACAAAAAGUGCCUUUGGUUUCCGAAGUGCUCUUGAAUAUCUCCAGAAAACUUAAAAGGUAUGCUUAAGUAACCAACUUAGCUAAACAGUAUCUGUCUUUGGGUGCCCUUAUGGGCCUUCCGUGCCGCAAGCAGUCAUUCAUCCUAAGAUAGGGGUGUCUGAGUAGCAAGGAUGACAGUAUGAUUUGUCUUAUUGUCAACCUCUGUGUGCAGGACUUGAAUUAGUUUCUUUGUGGGACCAGAGGAGGGAGAGGUGGUAGUGUCUUGACAGACCCCUGAAAUGGAUAGCAUAUUUUCAAUGUAGUAGAAAAGACAGAAAUGAAAACAACUAACCAGAGUAUAAGGCAAUCUAAAUAAGUGCUAAAUAGGUUAGAGCAGGUUCUAUGAAGGAGGAAGAACUGAUUAAUUCUGAUGGAGGAGGAUGGGGAGGGGUAUGUAUAAGAAAAGGUGUCACUGAGAAGGUGGCAAUUGAACUAGGUCUUGAAGGAUUUAGGAGAGAAUACUGGGUGAGAAAAUGAGUGAUAAGAAGUGCAAAAGAACCAUUCCAGAAGAACAGUGGGAAAUCGGAUUUGACUGAAGUGAGCAUAGGUUUCAUUGAUAUGCCUUAUAAAGGGACCUUGAAGCUGUUAGAGGGCUAGCCUGUUGUGCUGAGGAAUCUGAACUUCAUUUAGUAAGCAGAGAGCAGUCAUUGAGAAAUUUUGGAUUAGUGAUACAAUCCAAUCUGUUUUGGGGAGGCGGGGUGGCAAGAGGUGAUUUCAGUGUGAAAAUGAAGCAGAAGGCUGGUCAAAGCUCUUGCUGUCAUCCAGGCCAGAGGGUAAAGAUCUGUAUCGUGGCUGGGACACUAGAAAUUAAAGGAGCAUUGAUACCCAUCAAGGGAUAGAAAAUGGACAUUAAUACAGUUCCUAAUAGAUACUAGUAACUUUCAUAACCCAUCAACAUUGAUUUCUUACAUUGUCCUGUAUUACAGUAUACAGGAAUGUGUACAGGAAUGAGUCAGAAAUAGACCCUGUGCUCUGGAUACUUAAAAUUUUAAAUAGAAUUGAAUUACUGCAUCGUAAUUUUAGAAAUAAUCACUGAUGGUGAGGAAUUACAAAGGACUAUGUAAAUAAUAUAAUGAUUUAGUGGUUUGCAAGAAUGUAUUAUGGUAGUCAGAGCUUACCAAAAUAACCUGGAGCUAAUAAGAGCUCGGCAAUUAGUUAAAAAUAUCCAGCAUAAUUAAUGUAGAGAAGGUAUUCAAAUGCCAGUUUAGGGCAGAAUGAUACAUAUUAUGAGUGUCCAAGCCUCAGAGUUCUGCACAUUUUACAUUAUCAUAAAGUUGCAUCUUUGUAGACAUUUUUAUGCUAAAUUCUCGAGGGACAUUACAGCAUAUUACACUACCAUUCCAGAAGAGUUUUUAUAUAUUUGCAAGUGUGCACAACUUUUAGGAAGGAGAAGAAGCACUUUUUAAAAAACCAGAAUUCACCUAUGUUUCUGCUGACCAGUUAUCAAAAACUAUCAAAGAUCAUUUGUGUAAGACCUAAGGGAGAAAAUAUCCUUAGACCUAUUUCAUGCUGUUAAAUCUCUACAGAUUUACAGUUUUAUCCAGUCAAAUUAAUGCAAAACCCCAGUGCAAGCAUUUGGAUUUUGAAAACUUUGGAGGAGUGUCAUUUUCUAAUAGUAAUUAUUGGUUUUACAUUAUUUUUUCACAGGGGAACUGAUCACAGCCGCACAUGAGCUUGGAGUUGCCCAUCCUCCUGGCUAUCCUUUGUUCACGCUGGUGGCUAAACUGGCAAUUAUACUCUUUCCUUUUGGUUCCGUUGCCUACCGCGUCAAUCUUCUGUGUGGCUUCUUUGGAGCAGUAGCUGCAUCGUUACUUUUUUUCACCGUUUUCAG